rnacentral:rRNA from 1 species
GACGAUCAGUAGCCGACCUGAGAGGGUGAUCGGCCACAUUGGAACGGAGACACGGUCCAAACUCCUACGGGAGGCAGCAGUGGGGAAUAUUGCACAAUGGGCGAAAGCCUGAUGCAGCAACGCCGCGGGAGUGAUGAAGGCCUUCGGGUCGUAAAACUCUGGCCUCAAGGAAGAUAAUGACGGUACUUGAGGAGGAAGCCCCGGCUAACUACGUGCCAGCAGCCGCGGUAAUACGUAGGGGGCUAGCGUUAUCCGGAUUUACUGGGCGUAAAGGGUGCGUAGGCGGUCUUUCAAGUCAGGAGUGAAAGGCUACGGCUCAACCGUAGUAAGCUCUUGAAACUGGGAGACUUGAGUGCAGGAGAGGAGAGUGGAAUUCCUAGUGUAGCGGUGAAAUGCGUAGAUAUUAGGAGGAACACCAGUUGCGAAGGCGGCUCUCUGGACUGUAACUGACGCUGAGGCACGAAAGCGUGGGGAGCAAACAGGAUUAGAUACCCUG